ensembl:snRNA U6 U6 spliceosomal RNA
UUGCUCACUUUGGCAGCUCAUAUACUAAAAUUAAGAUGAUACACGGGAGAUUAGCAUGGCCCUUACAUAAGGAUAAAACACCACUGUGUGAAGCAUUCCAUAUAUAA